GACCUAGACCUCUUCUUAGCUGCGACUCUCUUUUUUAGUUGGUGACCUGGACCUCCUUCUCUUCUUAGCUGCGGUCUUCUUGAUAGAUCUUGACAUCCUUCUUACAAUAGAGAUUUGAUUUUUACAGUGAAUGCAUGCUCUAGAAUAUCGUAUUACAUUUUGUAAGUGCGAAACAUUUAAUUCAUACACGACACUAUUAGAUAGAUAAUAAAUCAGAUAUCAAGAUCACGAGAAGUUUAGUACGUGUUUGUGGGAUACAACAUGUACAAUAACAAACUAAUGCUUUAACAUGGCAAUGCUCGGG
rnacentral:lncRNA from 1 species